UACGGAGGGGGCUAGCGUUGCUCGGAAUUACUGGGCGUAAAGGGAGCGUAGGCGGACAGUUAAGUCAGAGGUGAAAGCCCAGGGCUCAACCCUGGAAUUGCCUUUGAAACUGAUUGUCUUGAGUAUGGGAGAGGUAUGCGGAACUCCGAGUGUAGAGGUGAAAUGCGUAGAUAUUCGGAAGAACAUCAGUGGCGAAGGCGACUCGCUGGACAAGUAUUGACGCUGAGGUGCGAAAGCGUGGGGAGCAAACAGG
rnacentral:rRNA from 1 species